rnacentral:rRNA from 1 species
GAGUUUGAUCAUGGCUCAGGAUGAACGCUAGCGGGAGGCUUAACACAUGCAAGUCGAGGGGUAUCAGUAGCAAUAUUGAGAGACCGGCGCACGGGUGAGUAACGCGUAUGCAACCUGCCCUUUACCGGGGGAUAGCCCGUAGAAAUGCGGAUUAAUACCCCAUAGUUCCCUGUUGCUGCAUGGCAAUUGGGAUAAAGCCUAGGUGGUAAAGGAUGGGCAUGCGCGACAUUAGCUAGUUGGUGAGGUAACGGCUCACCAAGGCUGCGAUGUCUAGGGGUUCUGAGAGGAUUCACCCCCACACUGGUACUGAGACACGGACCAGACUCCUACGGGAGGCAGCAGUAAGGAAUAUUGGUCAAUGGACGCAAGUCUGAACCAGCCAUGCCGCGUGCAGGAAGACAGCCCUACGGGUUGUAAACUGCUUUUGUACGGGAAAAAACCUCCGGUCGUGCACCGGAGCUGAUGGUACCGUAAGAAUAAGCAUCGGCUAACUCCGUGCCAGCAGCCGCGGUAAUACGGAGGAUGCAAGCGUUAUCCGGAUUCAUUGGGUUUAAAGGGUGCGCAGGCGGAAUGGUAAGUCAGUGGUGAAAUCCUACGGCUCGACCGUAGAACUGCCAUUGAUACUGUCGUUCUUGAGUACACUUGAAGUGGGCGGAAUGUGUCAUGUAGCGGUGAAAUGCUUAGAUAUGACAAGGAACACCGAUCGCGAAGGCAGCUCACUAA